rnacentral:ncRNA from 1 species
GUUUCGUGUGAACAGUCGUUGAUCACGAGUUAGUCGGUCCUAAGUUCAAGGCGAAAGCUGAAAAUUUUCAAGUUAUAUAUAUAAAUAAUGUAUAAAACACUUGAAAAUAAUUAAACGAAAGGAAAUACGGUUCCAAUUCCGUAACCUGUUGAGUAUCCGUUUGUUUAUUAAAUGUGGGCCUUGUGCUCCUCCUGGCAACAGGAACGACCAUAAAGAAGCCGCCGAGAGAUAUCGGAAGAGUUUUCUUUUCUGUUUUAUAGUCGUACUACCAAAGAAAUCACUUCUUGGCCAAAAACAUGCCUACAAUGUACGAAAUGAAAAUCAGUUUGUUCCACUGAAUCAACAACUACAAAAUUACUUGUUUCCAAAGAAAGAUAUGAA